rnacentral:rRNA from 1 species
AUUGAACGCUGGCGGCAGGCCUAACACAUGCAAGUCGAACGAGUGGCGGACGGGUGAGUAAUGUCUGGGAAACUGCCCGAUGGAGGGGGAUAACUACUGGAAACGGUAGCUAAUACCGCAUACCAUCGGAUGUGCCCAGAUGGGAUUAGCUAGUAGGUGGGGUAACGGCUCACCUAGGCGACGAUCCCUAGCUGGUCGGAGAGGAUGACCGGCAAAACGGGAACUGAAACACGGCCCAGACUCCUACGGGAGGCAGCAGUGGGGAAUUUGGCACAAUGGGCGAAAGGCUGACGCAGCAAGGCCGCGUGAGUGAAGAAGGCUUUGGGGUUGUAAAGAACUUUCGGCGGGGAAGCGUUACCCAAAGAAAAAGCACCGGCUAACUCCGUGCCAGCAGCCGCGGUAAUAC